UGGGGUGUGGCUCAGAGGUAGAGCACUUGCCUAGCAUGUGUGAGGCACUGGGUUUGAUCCUCAGCACCACAU
rnacentral:tRNA from 1 species